rnacentral:rRNA from 1 species
AGCUUGCUCCUGCUGGAUUAGUGGCGAACGGGUGAGUAACACGUGAGUAACCUGCCCUUGACUCUGGGAUAAGCGUUGGAAACGACGUCUAAUACCGGAUACGAGCUGAGACCGCAUGGUCAUUAGCUGGAAAGAAUUUUGGUCAAGGAUGGACUCGCGGCCUAUCAGCUAGUUGGUGAGGUAAUGGCCCACCAAGGCGACGACGGGUAGCCGGCCUGAGAGGGUGACCGGCCACACUGGGACUGAGACACGGCCCAGACUCCUACGGGAGGCAGCAGUGGGGAAUAUUGCACAAUGGGCGCAAGCCUGAUGCAGCAACGCCGCGUGAGGGACGACGGCCUUCGGGUUGUAAACCUCUUUUAGCAGGGAAGAAGCGAAAGUGACGGUACCCGCAGAAAAAGCACCGGCUAACUACGUGCCAGCAGCCGCGGUAAUACGUAGGGUGCAAGCGUUGUCCGGAAUUAUUGGGCGUAAAGAGCUCGUAGGCGGUUUGUCGCGUCUGCUGUGAAAAUCCGAGGCUCAACCUCGGACCUGCAGUGGGUACGGGCAAACUAGAGUGCGGUAGGGGAGAUUGGAAUUCCUGGUGUAGCGGUGGAAUGCGCAGAUAUCAGGAGGAACACCAAUGGCGAAGGCAGAUCUCUGGGCCGUAACUGACGCUGAGGAGCGAAAGCGUGGGGAGCGAACAGGAUUAGAUACCCUG